AGCUUUGCGCAGUGGCAGUAUCAUAGCCAAUGAGGUUUAUCCGAGGCGUGAUUAUUGCUAAUUGAGAAG
rnacentral:snRNA from 1 species